GAGGCGGGCGGGCGGUGGCCGCGGCCCGUCUGCCACCCCCGUGGGUUCGGCUCGCUGCCAGGACAUGUUCCCGCGUCGCCUCUGCAUCCCCCGCGGGCCCCUCCCCACCUCUCCUCCUCUGCUCACGGCAGUUUCCCCUCCAAAAUCGUGCUGGAGCUGUACCAGCCCGAGGCAGCCUGUUUGUACCAUCCACAAUGAGCUCCCUAACCUGCUGGGGGACAGCAAGUGGUCCUAGAAGAGAUUUCAAAAGUUCAUGCAAGGCUUCUGUCUUGAGAUAUCAGCAGCACCACUAAUCUGUGAACGUCUGAAGGCCAGAAUCCAACGUAAAACUGAAGCUGAACUUGUCCUGGAGUAAGAAGAUAAAAUUCUGAAUGAGUCCUUUCCUUCCCUCUUGCACUGUACUAAAAAUUUCGAGUGGCUAUUCUGUUUACA